AUUGAACGCUGGCGGCAGGCCUAACACAUGCAAGUCGAGCGGAUGAAGCGAGCUUGCUCCUGGAUUCAGCGUCGCACACGUGAGUAAUACCUAUGAAUCUCCCUCGUAUUGCGUGAUAAUGACCUCAAACGACCGCUACUACCGCCUACUUCCUGCUGCUGCAAGAUGGUGAUCUUCGGACCUCACGCUCUCAUAUGAGCCUAGGUCGGAUUAGCUAGUUGGUGGGGUAAAGGCCUACUAAGGCGACUAUCCGUAGCUGGUCUGAGAGAAUGAUCAGUCACACUGGAACGGAGACACGGUCCAGGCGCCUACGGGAGGGAGCAGAGGGGAAUGUUGGACAAUGGGGGGAAGCCUUAUCCAGCCAGGGCGCGUGUGAGGAAAAGGUCUUCGGAUUGUAAAGCACGUUAUGUGGUGAGGAAGGGCAGUAAGUUGUGACCAAGCUGUAGUGACGUUACCAACAGAAUAAGCACCGGCUAACUUCGUG
rnacentral:rRNA from 1 species